ensembl:lncRNA
GACCGAGCUAGCAGUCUGUUUAAAGUUCCUGUGGCUUGGGCAAAAGCCAGCCUUUACAGACACGGUUUCAUAGUAGAGAGACGUUUUCCCUUACGACUGGCCAAGUUUUAAAUCCUUCAAUGGUUGAAUCUGAUUAGGAAGGAAGACUGGCCCUGAGCUAACAUUCAUGCCCAUCUUCCUCUACUUUCUAUGUGGAACACCUGCCACAGCAUGGUUUGACAAGUGGGGUGGGGGUCUGCACCCGGGAUCCGGGCCGGUGAACCCUGGGCUGCCAAUGCGGAGUGUACAAGCUUAGCCGCUGCGCCACCAGGCCAGUCACCACUUUCAUGGAAUUUUGUGUUCAUUAUUAAGUUAGUUCCCCACACAAUCUCUGUGAAAAAGCUAUGGAAAUCUAACAGAUGAAGAAAGCAGAGAAAAAAGAAGGAAAUGGCUUGCUGAGAUCACAGUUUGGCAGUGAUCCAGAAAGAUCAAUCUAUAGAUGUGGAGGAAAAAGAAUUUGUAAUUAGGUUAGUGUUUAAGUGUAAUGACUUAUCUUGAGGAGAUAUCCUAAGUCCUUUUUGCUUUCUAUCCCCUGAAUAUCUCUUUUAAUUUUUUUCACUCUUCACUUUUAAAAGGAAUAACCUAACUCUCCUCUCUCCUUGUCUAAACCUCACACAUUGUAUAACAUUUAGCCCCACUUUUAAUUCUUCUGUGAAGUCUUCCCUUAACACCAAACCUAAAAUCAAUUCAUAGUCCCCUGAAAAAUUAGAACAAAUGUUUUAUUAAUGCAUCGCAAUUAAUCAUCGGAGAUUAAAAUGAGACAAAUUAAUCAAAGGAGAGCCAAAUUUUUAUCACUGUUUCUUUGAAUUCUUACAUAAUUAUAGUAUUUUUCAGAAUUACUGAUUUGUUUCCACAACUAUACAACCAGCUCAAAGGGAAGAAAUAUAUUUCUUUGAUCUGCUACAGUACUUAAUGAAUUUUGAGUGCUCAACAGAAGUAGACUAAUUCCAUUUUACUUUGAUUUGCUAAGUCCAGAGUAAAAACUAAUCCAGGAGAGUAAACAGUAAGAUUCCAAGAGUUAUUUGAUAAAGAACUGAACCUCAUUUUUCUUCAGAUGCAUUUUAUACAUAAUACAGAAGGUUCUUUAUUUCAUGGAUUUAAUCUCUCUUAGAACACCAAGCAUAAACUAAUGAAAAUCAUCAAAUUCAAUUUUUUUGUAACUGAGGUUAAAAAUAUACAUAUAGAAUAAUGCACUGAUCUUAAGUGUACAAUUAAAUGAGUUUUCAUAAGUGAAUCCCACACUUCAAUUAAGAUAUAGUACCUUUCUAUUACGCAGAAAUUUCCCUUAUGCCACCUCCAAUAAAUCCCACUUCCUCCUAAGAUGACACUAUUGUAGUUUUUAUUCCAAACAGAUUCCUGUUCUUGAACUUGUAAAUGGAAUCAUAUAAAAUACAUCCUUUGUGUUGGAUUCUUUUGGUAAACUUAAGUUUUUUACAAUUCCUCCACGUACUUGCAUGUAUUGGUGGCUCAUUCUUUUAUAUUACUGAAUGUGUUCCAUUAUAUGUAUAUAGAGAAAUAACGACCUGUAAUUUUCUUUACUUGCAAUGUUUUUGUUAGAUUUUGGUAUCAGCAUUAAACUGGCUUCAUAAAACACAUAGAGUAGUCUUCUUUCCUUUUCUAUUUUUUGAAAGGGUUUAUGUCUAUUGAAACUUCUUUAAAUAUUUGAUAGAGUUUACUAGGGGGAAAUAUCUGGGCCUGGAGUUUUCUUUGUUCUGUGUUUUCCGUUACAAAAUCAAAUUUUCAAAUACAGUGCUAUUCAAGUUUAGCAUUCUUUCUUAGGUUAUUUUUGUUAGCUUUUGUUUUUUUACAAAACUUGUCUAUUUUGUCUUCUUGUUUUAAUAUAUUUGCAUAAAUUUGUACAUAAGAUUCCUUUUUAUCCCUCUAAUAUCUAUCGAAACUAUAAGUGAUAAACGUUUUUCAUUUCUAUACUGAUAAUUUGUUUCUGUCUCUCUCUCUCUCUCUCUUUUUUUCUGGUGAGGAAGAUUGUCCUUGAGCUAACAUCUAUGUCAAUCUUUCUCUAUUUUGUAUGUGGGGAGCUGCCCGCAGCAUGGCUUGACAAGCAGUGCGUAAGUCUUCACCCAGAGUCUGAACCCAUGAACCUCGGGUUGCCGAAGAAGAGCACCCAAGAUUAACCACUGUGCCACCAGGAACUGGCAGACUGUUUCCCAAAGUGGCUGAAUCAUUUUAUGUUCUUACAAGCAAUACAUGGAUUCAAUUUCUCCACAUCCUCUCCAACACUUAUUUUCUUUUUAUUAUUAUUAUAGCCAUAAUAGUGGGUGUGAAGUAACACCUCAUUGUGGCUUUGAUUUACAUUUUCUUAAUGACUAAUAAUAUUAAGCAUUUUUUAUGUGUUUGUAGGCCAUUUGUAUGUCUUCUUUGGAAAAAUGUGUAUUCAAGUCCUUUAUUCAUUUUUAAUGGUUUUUGAGCUGUAAGAGUUCAUAUAUUCUGGAUACUAGCCUCUCAUCAAACACAUGAUUUCCAAACAUUUUGUUCCAUUAUGCAUGUUGUCUUUCAAUUUCUUGAUAAUGUUCUUUGAUGAAAAAAUGAUUUUAAUAUUAGUGAAGUUAAAUUUAAUUAUUUUUUAAUUUUAUUGUUCAUGCUUUUGCUCUCAUAACAAAGAAUCCACUAUCAAAUCCAAGAUAAUGAAGAUUUACCUCUAUGUUUUUUUCUAAUAAUUUUAUGAUUUUAACCCUUUUAUUUAUGUCAUUGAUCCAUUUUGAGUUGAUCUUUGCAUAUUAGCCAUUUAACUUUGAUGCCCAUUGGUGUGGUUCUCCUUGUGUUGAUCUGGCUUAGAACACUGAUCUUCUUGGAUUUGAAAGUUGAUGUUUUGCCUAUUUAUUCAAAUAUUUUUUUCUACUUUAAUCUCUCUAAAGUUCUUUCUGUAAUUAAAUGUAUGUUGUACCAUCUGCUAUUGUCCCAUGGUGUAUAAUAAUGCUGUUCAUUUUAUUUUAUUUUCCUAGUUUUUUGCUGUAUUUUUUUUCUAUCCUUCAGAUUAGAUAAUUUCUAUUGAUCUGUCUUUAACCUUACCAACUCUUUUUUUUCGGCUGUUUCCCAUAUUCAUUCAUGCUCAUGAAGUGAACUUUUCACAUCAUUUAUUGUGCUUUUAAAUUUUAGAAUUUCCAUUAGGUGUAUUUAGAGUUUCAGUUUCUCCAUUAGGAUUUCUCCAUCUCUGCCUCAUUAUGAUCAGUUUUUACUUUAAGGUUUUGAACAUAUUUAUGAUAAAUGUGAUGCUAAGUGAAAUAAGCCAAUCAUGAAAUAAUACAUACACAAUACAGUAUGAUUCAACUCAUAUGAACAUGCCAAAUUACUCUAUGGUGGAAUAAAUCAAAAGAAUGUUGGCCUUGGGGCUGGCCCCAUGGUCGAGUGCUUAAGUUUGCCUGCUCUGCUUUGGCAGCCCAGCGUUUUGCCAGUUUGGGUCCUGGGUUCAGACCUAGCACUGCUCAUCAAGUCAUGCUGAGGUAGCACCCCACAUGCCACUACUAGAAGGAGUCACAAUUAAAAUAUACAAUUAUGUACUGGGGGGCUUUGGGGAGAAGAAGGAAAAGUAAAACAAAGUAAAAUCUUUAAAAAAACAUGCUAGCCUCUGGGUUGGUGGGGGAGGACCUUGAGUGAAGGAGGAUAUGUGGGGACUUUCUAUGGUGAUGGAAGUGCUCUAUAUCUUUUUUGGGUAAGGGUUACAUGUGUAUUUAUUUUUCAAAACUUAUCAAACUGUACACUUAAGACCUUUACAUUUUGCCAUAUGUUAAUUAAACCUUAAAAUACAGACAAAACUACAGAAUAUUACUUAGGGGGUACAAAUUAGUAAAACAAAAAAGAAAAUAAUUAGGACAAAAUUCAUGAUGGAAGUUACCUCUGUAAGGAUGAGGAAAUGUGAUUUGGCAGGGGCACACGGGGGGCCUCUCACGUGCUAGUAAUGUUCGAUUUCUUAAACUGAGUACUGGAUACAUCAGUGUUAUUUUUAUUAUUAUGUCUUAGCAUGCACAUGUAUUUAUGUAUAUUUCAAAUUAGUUUCAUUUAAAGACUAGUCUAUAAAUGUCUUUAUUUUGCUUUUAAUAUUGUUGUUAUUGUUUAAAUUAUGAAAAAAAAAUAGGUCAAUGUCCCUUGGAUGUUUUCAUUGUUUCACAAAGGUAUAUAAUUUUUUCAUCAUAGAAGAUUUGACUAAUAAAGAUGAAGAAAAUUGAGUCCUUGGCAUGAGGAAAUGUACGUGGCUCAUAGAAACGCUAUAUGUUUGACCUGGAUUUUAUAGUUUAUGGAGCACCCUGAAGUCAAUUCAACCAUUUUUCAUAGUGAUAAAAAUGACUUGAUGAAAAAAGAGUAAAAAAAAUAAAUCUUUGGUAAAAAACCUUUUUAUUCUAUACUAUACAUUCAAUGUUCACAUAUACCGUGAUUAUACUUUUACUAGAACGUCAGAACUGGAACUAGGGAAUCUUUGAAAGGAAAACAUAAAAGAAACAGUGCAUAUUUUAUCACUCUUCUCUGGCUUUUACAAAUCAGAAGAGUGAGGACCAAGAAAGUGAAGUGCUUUGGGUAAGAUUACACACUUAGUUGUAAAGCGAGAACUAUAUCUGACUUCUUCUUAUAUACUCUUUCAUCCAUUUUUUUAAGCUCCACAUGAGUUAAAUUUUGUAUUCAUUCAAGUCUCUGGAUUAGUACCACCAGCUAUACAAUAGCAUAAAGAAUAAAAAAAUCACAAACAAAGUGAACCUUCUCAGCAGCUCUAACCUACCCUGCUCUCUUUCACCCCUCAUUCAUGCACUCAACAUUCAACAAGUAUUCGCUUAACAUUUUUCCAAUCAUCCUUCUAGAUCUGAGAGAAACAAAAAGAAUAAAUGAGAUUCAUUAUCUAUGGCUAGUGAUCAUUUUUAGACAAAGAGAG